ensembl:lncRNA
CCAGUGAUUAAGCGCCUGAUUGGAAGGCAGGGUCAACCCAGGGGACCUCAGGUGCAUGCAGUGCAUCUGAGUGACAGGAAGACCUGAUGGAUUCUGGCUCCACCCCUUCCCAGACCUCAUUUAAGGGUUGGCAGUGGAGGCAAGGGUGUCUUGCUGGAUACUGCUGCAUACUUGAGGUUUUUAGAAGGUAAGCAGCUUCCUUACUUUAUUUCUGUAGCAGUUGCAUUUGAGUAAAUCCUUGUUUGUAGCCUGGGACCUUGCUGCUCUAUUGUCAUUGAUUUACUUUCUUUUGUGUUACAACCAGCUCAUCUGUGGUUUUUUUUUUUUUAAUGCUGUAGGAUUAAAGAGUGCUUGUGACAAGAGAAAACAGAUCUCCCUUUUUUGAUUCUGUGGGUGAAAUGGCCAGAGCAAGGAGAAGAGGUUUCUGAAGCUCCUGCUACUCUGUCAAUUGUACACAAGGACAAAGAAACAGUAUGGCAGCUGACCUAUGCCUCAUCACCUGCACACAGAACCUCAAAGUUGAGCAACAGAUGGCCAGUAGCUCUCAGUCAACAGGAUUCAGAGGCAAGAGAGCAGCCUCACUGUUAAGUAACAGCAGCUGCUUUACGAAGAGACUGUAUUUCAACUUGAGGGGGAAUGACACAUGCCUAGACCACAACUUCAGUUGGCAGAGACACCAUCUCUGUUCCACUGUAACACUUCCCUAAAGUUCCCCCUUCCAGAGGGAAAGAGGAAUUUGAGGAAAUUUUCUUUAUAUCACUGCGCUUCUCUCUUCAUUAUGAAGGUUCAGCACAUCUGGUGAACAAGAAAAGUUUUGUGGGGGCCCAGCCAUUUCCUGCAAGGCUAUGAUGUGUUUUGUCCUGUCACUGCACUGAUCUGCAAGUGACACCGAGUUGAGCUGCUCAAUGCGCCUGCAGAAUCUGCGUGUAUUACAGAAGUCAUGGGAAGAAAAAAGCAGAGCAAAACUUGUUUC